rnacentral:pre_miRNA from 1 species
UCAUGUUUGUGUGUGGAUGGUGUUCAGUGCCAAGGACAGAUCAUGUUUGUGUGUGGAUAGUGUUCAGUGCCAAGGACAGAUCAUGUUUGUGU